GAUGAAGAACGUAGCGAAAUGCGAUAAGUAAUGUGAAUUGCAGAAUUCAGUGAAUCAUCGAAUCUUUGAACGCACAUUGCGCCCGCCAGUAUUCUGGCGGGCAUGCCUGUCUGAGCGUCAUUUCAACCCUCAUGCCCCUAGGGCGUGGUGUUGGGGAUCGGCCAAAGCCCGCGAGGGACGGCCGGCCCCUAAAUCUAGUGGCGGACCCGUCGUGGCCUCCUCUGCGAAGUAGUGAUAUUCCGCAUCGGAGAGCGACGAGCCCCUGCCGUUAAACCCCCAACUUUCCAAGGUUGACCUCAGAUCAGGUAGGAAUACCCGCUGAACUUAAGCAUAUCAAUAAGCGGA
rnacentral:misc_RNA from 1 species